rnacentral:rRNA from 1 species
GGCUCAGGACGAACGCUGGCGGCGUGCUUAACACAUGCAAGUCGAGCGAUGAAGCUUCUCGGAAGUGGAUUAGCGGCGGACGGGUGAGUAACACGUGGGUAACCUGCCUCAUAGAGGGGAAUAGCCUUCCGAAAGGAAGAUUAAUACCGCAUAAGAUUGUAAUAUCGCAUGAUAUAGCAAUUAAAGGAGUAAUCCGCUAUGAGAUGGACCCGCGUCGCAUUAGCUAGUUGGUGAGGUAACGGCUCACCAAGGCGACGAUGCGUAGCCGACCUGAGAGGGUGAUCGGCCACAUUGGGACUGAGACACGGCCCAGACUCCUACGGGAGGCAGCAGUGGGGAAUAUUGCACAAUGGGGGAAACCCUGAUGCAAGCAACGCCGCGUGAGUGAUGACGGUCUUCGGAUUGUAAAGCUCUGUCUUCAGGGACGAUAAUGACGGUACCUGAGGAGGAAGCCACGGCUAACUACGUGCCAGCCGCGGC